AACGCACCUUGCGCUCCCUGGUAUUCCGGGGAGCACGCCUGUUCGAGUGUCAUGAAGCUCUCAAGCUUAGAUGUCUUUAUUGCUGUCUAGACUUGGAUUUGGACUUUGCUGUGGCCCUAGGGAAAUAGCUGGUCCUAAAUGCAUUAGCUGGUCUUUGCGAAGGCUUGGUUCUACUUGGCGUGAUAAUUAUCUAUCGUCAAGGACACUCUUUCACGAGGGUGGCCAGACUCUCCUUGGACUGCUUCUAAUCGUCUUUGGACAAUUAUUCAUGGAUCUGACCUCGAAUCAGGCGGGACUACCCGCUGAACUUAA
rnacentral:rRNA from 1 species